UGAAAACAUGGACCGACCAACCAACUGGAGCACCCACAAGGCUCUUGUGAAGGAAGUCCACAAGCCUUUGUGCUUCAGGAUGGAUGGAAAGAACUCUUUGAUCAACCCCCAAAGAGAGCUGAGGUGGCUAUCUUUUGGAGACACCCCCGGCUGGUAGUGCUGCUGAAACUGGUGGAGGCAACAAUGAAGUGGCAACAGAAAGAGAAGGCAGGUGGCAAAGGUUGCUGCUAUUCAAAAAUUCUUUGAGAGUGAGUGUGUGUGCAUGUAUGUAGCUGGGUAGGUCAUGGUACAUGGUACAAAAAUACAGAAUGUAAAGCACUAGCACAACACUUAACUCACAACUACUGACAAUGGAAUUACUCUUUUAGAGUGAGUGAGUUAGG